rnacentral:SRP_RNA from 1 species
CGCCGGGAACUGCGCGGCAGUAGGUUGGCGAAUCCCGCCAGGGCCGGAAGGCAGCAACGGUAAACUGAUUCUCUGCGCGAUGCACUCUUCCCGGCUUUU